rnacentral:rRNA from 1 species
UACAGGAGGGGGCAAGCGUUGUUCGGAAUUACUGGGCGUAAAGGGCGCGUAGGUGGCCUUCUAAGUUGAACGUGAAAUCCCUGGGCUCAACCCAGGAACUGCGUCCAAGACUGGGAGGCUUGAAUCCGGGAGAGGGAUGCGGAAUUCCAGGUGUAGCGGUGAAAUGCGUAGAUAUCUGGAGGAACACCGGUGGCGAAGGCGGCAUCCUGGACCGGUAUUGACACUGAGGCGCGAAAGCCAGGGGAGCAAACGGG